GACGAACGCUGGCGGCGUGCUUAACACAUGCAAGUCGUACGGUCAGGCCCUUUUGUUGGUGCACGGGUGGCGAACGGGUGAGUAACACGUGAGUAAACUGCCCACCCCUUUGGGCUAAGGCUAGGAAACUGGUGCUAAUACUGGACGUGUGCUGCCGCCUCAUGGGCAUGGUUCGAAAGCUCCGGCGGUUGUGGAUGGACUCGCGGCCGAUCGGCUUGCUGGUGGGGUAGUGGCCUACCAGGGCGGCGACGGGUAGCCGGGCUGAGAGGGUGACCGGCCACAUGGGGACUGAGGUGCGGCCCGGAGCCGUACGGGGUGCAGCAGUGGGGAAUAUUGCCCGAUGGGCGCAAGUCGGGUGCGGCAUGGCGGCGUGCGGGAUGACGGCCUUUUGGUUGUGAGCCGAUUUCAGCAGGGACGACGCUGGUUGUGACGGUACCUGCAGAAGAAGCACCGGCUAACUACGUG
rnacentral:rRNA from 1 species